rnacentral:rRNA from 1 species
ACGCUUGACAUGUACGGAAUCCUGAAGAGAUUUGGGAGUGCUCGAAAGAGAGCCGUAACACAGGUGCUGCAUGGCUGUCGUCAGCUCGUGUCGUGAGAUGUUGGGUUAAGUCCCGCAACGAGCGCAACCCUUGUCAUUAGUUGCUACGAAAGGGCACUCUAAUGAGACUGCCGGUGACAAACCGGAGGAAGGUGGGGAUGACGUCAAGUCCUCAUGGCCCUUAUGCGUAGGGCUUCACACGUCAUACAAUGGUACAUACAGAGGGUUGCCAACCCGCGAGGGGGAGCUAAUCUCAGAAAGUGUAUCGUAGUCCGGAUUGAAGUCUGCAACUCGACUUCAUGAAGUUGGAAUCGCUAGUAAUCGCGGAUCAGCAUGUCGCGGUGAAUACGUUCCCGGGUCUUGUACACACCGCCCGUCACACCAUGGGAGCGGGUUUUACCAGAAGUAGGUAGCCUAACCGCAAGGAGGGCGCUUACCACGGUAGGAUUCGUGACUGGGGUGAAGUCGUAACAAGGUAAGCGUAGUGCU